AUUGAACGCUGGCGGCAGGCUUAACACAUGCAAGUCGAGCGGAGAGAGGUAGCUUGCUACUGAUCUUAGCGGCGGACGGGUGAGUAAUGCUUAGGAAUCUGCCUAUUAGUGGGGGACAACAUUUCGAAAGGAAUGCUAAUACCGCAUACGUCCUAUGGGAGAAAGCAGGGGAUCUUCGGACCUUGCGCUAAUAGAUGAGCCUAAGUCGGAUUAGCUAGUUGGUGGGGUAAAGGCCUACCAAGGCGACGAUCUGUAGCGGGUCUGAGAGGAUGAUCCGCCACACUGGGACUGAGACACGGCCCAGACUCCUCCGGGAGGCAGCAGUGGGUAAUAUUGGACAAUGGGCGCAAGCCUGAUCCAGCCAUGCCGCGUGUGUGAAGAAGGCCUUAUGGUUGUAAAGCACUUUAAGCGAGGAGGAGGCUACUUUAGUUAAUACCUAGAGAUAGUGGACGUUACUCGCAGAAUAAGCACCGGCUAACUCUGUGCCAGCCGCCGCCGUAAGAC
rnacentral:rRNA from 1 species